UACUAUGCCAUGUUGGCUAUAAGCGACGUCGGGAGAAAUCAGCUCGAGAGCGUGUGCACCGUUUGACAAUUUGGAGUAAAUCAGCAGGAGAAUGGCUUGAACCUUCCUGUCAUAGUUCUUCAGCCCCUGCAUAUCUUCAUGCUUCUAGUUUCUAAGCCCCCAUAUUUUAUUGUUUUAUGGAAAAUAAGUUACUUGUCCUUUUUCACUUUGACACAGUUCUGUGCCAACCAACCUGACCCAUUAAGGUGGGGAUGGUGAACGCGGUGGUGGAGAGAGGGUUUUUCUAUAGAGGGGGCGAGGGCUUAUGACUUAGUCAUGUCCAUUUAUUCAUGACUUAAUAACAGUUGUGAAGAAUACUUGAAAGAAAAAAUAUAUUUAUUACUCAUCCACUUUUGACAUGACGAUCGUAUACGCUAGCUAGCGGUUUUCCGUCAAAAACCCAAAACUUGUCAUAAUGGAAGUGACGGAACAUCAAAGCAAGGGAAAAAAAAGGGACUUACAUGUUGUUGACUGUCUAAAAAAAAAGAAGUUAUGUAUAAGCUGUAAUUGGGAGCAGGAUUGCUAUGGGGGUUGGACUUGUGUUCUCCUCUCUUCUUAAGCCUGGACGAUUGCUAGAUACAAAACAGCUAGUUCAAGCGUGAAUGGACAAGAGAAGAGGGAGAUACAAAACAGCACAUACGAACUAAAAACUAUAAUUUUCAAACUUCUUUUUCACUCUAAAAGGCAGUGCUAGUUGAUGCAUGUGUGAUAGGUACUGGAC
rnacentral:lncRNA from 1 species